UUAAUCCUAAUGCACAAACCAUUGUUCCUCGCCCAUCUCUACAGCAAAAUUCCUAUUACCCACAAAAUCCUUAUUACCCACCAAAUCCCUACUAUCCACACAACCCCUUUUCUUCGAUUCCACAAAAUUCAUUUCGUCCUAUUUCACAAUCAUCAUACCCACAACCUCCUCCGUCUACUCCUUCAUAUUAUAACCAAAAUGCAUAGCGUCAUCCAUUUACAGCCCCAACCCAAUCCCCAAUAUCCAAACCCAACCAGUCCAGAUACAAUUUCAAGCCCCACCACAACACUACUUUCCUCCACCACCAAAUCCACACUCUACAAGCAUGUUUCUUACUUUACCUUAGCCUUUGAGUGUCAAAUUGACUGAUACAAAUUUUCUUCUCUAGAAGAAUCAACUUCUGAAUGUUGUUAUUGCUAAUGGACUUCGUGGGUUUCUUGAUGCGACGGUUUUUCCUCCACCACAAUUUCUGGACCAGCAAAGACUUCAUCUGAAUCCAGAUUAUUCUCUUUGGGAAAGAUGGUGAACCCUUUCAUGACCCAUCUCUCUAUAGAAGCAUUGUUGCUGCUCUCCAGGAUUGUGCUCUCACUCGCCUGGACUUAAGCUUUUGUUUAUAAAAAAGUUGUCUCUAGAUCUAGUGCCGAGUCUKAAUACAGAGGGAUGUCCAAUGCUAUUGCCGAGCUUAUUUGGCUUCAGUCUGUGUUAUUCGAAAUUGGUAUUUCUUUGCCCUCAACUUCUUUACUUUUGUGUGAUAAUGUCAGUGCUACUUACUUGGUUGCAAAUCCAGUUUUACAUAAACGUUCAAAGCAUAUAGAGAUUGAUCAUCACUUUAUUCGAUAGCAGGUGCUUCGUAAACAAUUAUUAGUUUGGUUUGUACCAUCAGAGGACCAACUCGCUGAUAUCAUGACAAAGCCACUCCCAACACAAAGGUUUCAUAGUCUACGGACCAAACUUACUGUGCAUGGCCCAGCUUUGCUUGCGGGGGAUGAUAGAAUCUUAUUUAUCCUUAUAUUGUUUGGGUCUAUUCUUCUUUAUUUCUUGUGUGUGAUAGUUUGUUAUUUUCUAACAAAUACUUUGGCUCCACGUGUAGGAACUCAUUUGCUUUAUAUU